ACUCAAAUGAAUUGACGGGGGCUCACACAAGCGGUGGAGCAUGUUGCUUAAUUCGAGGCAACGCGAAGAACCUUACCUGGGUUUGACAUGGCCGGAUUAGCUCUUGGAAACAGGAGUGACACCUUCGGGUGGAACGGUCACAGGUGCUGCAUGGCUGUCGUCAGCUCGUGCUGUGAAGUGUCGGGUUAAGUCCCUUAACGAGCGCAACCCCUAUCGUUAGUUGCUAACGGGUCAUGCCGAGUACUCUAGCGAGACUGCCGGUGUCAAACCGGAGGAAGGUGGGGAUGACGUCAAGUCCUCAUGGCCCUUACAUCCAGGGAUGCAAACGUGCUACAAUGGUGCGCACAAAGCGAUGCAAGACAGCGAUGUGGAGCAAAUCGCAAAAAACGCACCCCAGUUCGGAUUGCAGGCUGCAACUCGCCUGCAUGAAGUCGGAAUCGCUAGUAAUCGGAGAUCAGCUACGCUCCGGUGAAUAUGUUCCUGAGCCUUGUACACACCGCCCGU
rnacentral:rRNA from 1 species